rnacentral:SRP_RNA from 1 species
GCUGGGCGUGGUGGCGGGCGCCUGUAAUCCCAGCUACUCAGGAGGCUGAGGCAGGAGAAUUGCUUGAACCCGGGAGGCGGAGGUUGCAGUGAGCCGAGAUUGCGCCACUGCACUCCAGCCUGGGUGACAGAGCAAGACUCUGUCUAAA